rnacentral:rRNA from 1 species
GAUGAACGCUGGCGGCGUGCCUAAUACAUGCAAGUCGAGCGAACGGACGAGACGGUUUCUUCUCUGAUGUUAGCGGCGGGCGGGUGGGUAAUACGUGGCUCACCUACCUAGAAUACUGGGAUAACUUCGGGAAACCUGAGCUAAUAGCGGAUAAUAUUUUGAACGGCAGGGUUCAAAAGUGAUAGGCGUUGGUGCUGCCACUUGUCGAUGGAUCCGCUCUGCGUUAGCUAGUUGGUAAGGUAACGGCUUACCAAGGCAACGAUGCAUAGCCGACCGGAGAGGGGGGUCGGCCGCACUGGAGCGGGAACACGGUCCAGACUCCUGCGGGAGGCCGCAGUAGGGAAUCGGCCGCAAUGGGGGAAAGCCUGACGGAGCAAGGCGGAGUGAGUGGUGAAGGUCUUCGGAGCGUAAAACUCUGUUAUGAGGGAAGAACCUAUGUGUACGUAACUGUGCACAACGUGACGGUACCUAAAGAAAAAGCCACGGCUAACUACGUG